AUCGCCUUCUCGGCCUUUUGGCUAAGAUCAAAGGUGUAUUUCCUUUCUUAUCAGCUUAAUACUGAAUACCCUCCAUUGGGGGACAUCGAUAUUAAACCUGAUUUUUGAAAGGGGGGAGGUGCCGGGGCUUGCUCCGCCCUCACCACGGGGACCGGUAUGCAGUAUUCCGGGAAUGGGCCCCACCAUAU